UUUGCCCUCUUCAUACUCACCCACCAGCAUAGCAGCCAGCGCUGCAGCUGCAUGACGAUGAUCAUGGACCUCCACAAAACAUGGGCAGAGCGAAUACCCACUACACACCAGAGAGGUGGUUGAUUGGGAGCUGAAGCUCUGUAAUACUUACUGCCCAGCUUUAGAAGAAAACACCAUACCAAAUGUCACCAACUUGGAAAAAGAAAGAAAAUUUAACAACUAAAGUAUAGUUUCUGCUGAAUAUGACUGCAACUCUGAGCAUUCAUGAAUACGUAAAGGAAACCCCUCGGAGAUCCAGACAGACGUGGAUGUGAGAGGAAGACCUGUCGAAGUCUUGGACGAGCAUCCAGAUAUCUUCUCUGUAUCCAUGAUACCGUCUAUUGCCCUGCAGAAAGGAGUGCAGGACUGGACCCAACAGCAAAUACAAGAGUGCCAAUAAUUCCCCAAGAGGGUCUCCUUUGCAGGAGGAAAGACCCAAUUCCACAGGCUUGCUGCUGGUUCUGGGUCAGAAGGGGCCAUCAAGAGAGCAGGUUUAAACUCGCGCAGACUGCUCUCCAGCCCGACUCUGCAACGUUGCAGUUGUAUCCUUGUGAGCAAACAGCAAGGCUGAUGCACGUUUGCUCAUUGACACCUACUGAUAAGAGCCAAUCGGAAUCAUGGCCGAAUUCCUUCAGACUGGACCUGCCAACAAGCUGCUCAGCCCUCCAGAUGUUACCGCUUUGUGAGAAAUAAGAACUCAAUAAACCAGGCUCACCCUUCCUCCUGGGGUGAACACAAAGACAGAUAUGGAAAAUCACGGCUCAGCACCGCGAACAAUGCUCUAAGUGAGGGGUUGGGGCCACUCUUAUUUGUCUUGGUGGAACAGACAGCCAUGGAGCCCGAUGCAAGAAUUUUAGUUGGCAACCGUUCAAACUCUGACUAUACAUUGCAAUUGUUCACCAAAGGAAACUUAUGAGCUUGGGGAAAGUGGCUUUUCACAGAAGGCGUGAGACACUGGUGGGGAGAGCUUGAGGUAUCUCACAGGAUGUUCCUAUGCGAGUGCCCCCCCACCCCUUGUGUUUCCCAGAGUCCGUCCUCUUGUGUUAUGUAACGGAGCAGAAGGAUGCAGCAGUAAACAACCUCGGAGCACUUCCGAACCGUGGAUGGAUAAUCUCCAGCAAGCACUUGCCGUUCCGGGAAUAGGACAGAAUGAGCUAGAAUGCUUGUCCUCAGACCAGCGUGUCCCAGUCUGUCUUAACACAGGACACACUUGUGACCUUGCUAUGAAAAAAUAAAAAUAUCAAAAAAAUGUGUGGUCAUCAUUUCCCCUGGGCUGGCCCCUCAUCCAGCUGUCCGUUCAUGCGCACCUUCUUCCAUCCUCCCUGUCUGCACCCAGACUCACGGUGAACCCCUGAGUUCAUCUAAAUAUGAGAUGGGAAGCCGCUGUUCUCAGCACAGAGUCCCCUGCUAAGCCUUGUGGCAAGUUAGCAUACAAUGUACAUAAUGGAUAUUAAUGAGUUAAGUGUUUAUAAUAUUUAAUUCACUGAUUAAGUCUCAUAUACAUGCUUAAAAUCAUGCCUAAUAUGCAUUGACUUCUUUUUGAGCUCACAUCUAACAAGGUCACGUUUAUUUGAAUGUUUAUUUUGUGGGUGUGACUGUACCAGCUUAAGUGUGCCUAAUCUCAUCUGAACUCGUGUUCUCGGGAUCUGAACUCGUGUUCUCGGGGACAUUUAGGAAGCAGCUGAGACUUUGUCUUCACUGAAGCAGUCUUUUGAGCUGCCCAGUCCAGUGUUCCAGAGAGGGUUCUCUUUAUCUCUACUCAGGCUUUUAAUCAGAGUUUGGAAAACUGGACACUUGCAUAGAAUUUAGAUGACAGUCUAAUAAAAAUAAAAGCACAUGAUUUCUCGACUGUG